GCGUCCAUGGUGUAGUGGUAACCCAUCUCCUUGCCAAGGAGGAAUUGCGAGUUCGAUUCUCGCUGGACGCUC
rnacentral:tRNA from 1 species